CAUCCUUGGUGGCUCUGCAGCUUCACCUCGCAGUACAUCAGAUUGGUGGUGGAAGAGCAGAGGCUUAAUCUAACUAAACUGCAUAGUGGAACCUUUUUGCUCAGGCUGGUAGAGGCACAUUGCACUUGUGUUGAGGCAUGGUUCUUCUAUCGCGCCAUUAUCUUCACAGAGCGGUGCGUCUCAGUACUCUUCAUAUGGUGGAUAUCAGGGUACAAGCAAAAAGAUUGAAAUACCAAAUUGAAGGGUUGGUGUUACUAUCGCAAAAGCUGGGGAAACUAUCAGGUAUCUCCAACUCCAGUCAGGAGCAAAGAUUCAAGUAACAAGAGAAUGAAGCUGAACCAGGUGCACCGACAAGACCAGUUGAGCUUUCAGGCACUCCUGAGCAGAUAAGCAAGGCUGAGCAAAGCUGAGCAGCUGAUCAAAGAAGUUCUGGCAGACGCUGACGCUGGGUCUUCUGGUACUAGAUCUGGUGGCCGGAAAUAUAAUGCACCACAGCCAGGUGCCGACACGUUCCAGAUGAAAAUUGCUAAUAACAAGGUGGGUCUGGUUAUUGGUAAGGGUUCUGAGACUAUAAAGUACAUGCAAGCCAAAUCUGGAGCUUGUAUUCAGGUUUAUUCCUUUGCAUCUGCCAGCUGGUGAUACUUCAACAGAAAGAACUGUGCAUAUUGAUGGCACACAGGAACAAAUCGGAAUGGUUAAAAUCUACCCCUGUUUGCUCUUCUCUCCGUGUUUCGGCGGCGAAUCUGGACGCGUGUCGGACAGCAGAGCACCGAGCGGCGAGCGGCGAGCGGCGAGAGCCAUCCACAUGUGUGGGACCCGCCUGACCUUAUCUUCCCACCUUCCGUCGCUCUCUCUCUCCAACCCCUCCGUCUCUCUCCGCUUGCUCUCAGAUCCGCGAAAGAAAGUGAUGGCGCCGCCGGUGCCGGUACAGCCGGCGACCCCUCGCCUCCACGGACCGACUGGCCGGCCUCCCAUUCUAAGUUUCUAACCAUGGCUGGCUACCGUGCGGCUCCUCUGCCACCGACGCCAGGGGGCGUCGAGUGGCUCCUCUGCAGCCGCCGGGGAUGGCGCGGGGCCCGUGGUCUUCGCUACGCGGAUGCUGCUCCUCCUCAUGCUGCUGCCGCUCGCUCGCCGUCGUCGCGGCCACCGCCACCAUCUCUCCGUCGACCCUCCCUCUCACCUCCUCAGCAAGCAGCGAGCAGCCUCGGCACUAGAUCCCCGUCGUCUAGCUCCCCCUCCCCCUCAUUCCAUCUCUUCUCCCCGCCGCCACCCUCCCUGUCCCAACUUGACCGCACGCGCUACCCGGCUCACCACCUUGAUGAUGGCAUAGGCUCCGUCAUUGCUGAAGAACGGUAAGCAACACGAGCUCGGCGGCUUGGGCAAGCCAGCGACGUUGCUACUGCAAGCUCUAGCUUGGCGGCGCAAGCAGCCGUGAGCUCAAGCACCAGCGUGGCCUCAAGCUCAUGCACAUUUACCAGAGUGGCAAACUAAUUGACCUCCUCCAAUCUCUUUUCCCUCUUGCCAAUCGAGGGGCAGCGCGAGGCGCAGCUUGCUGCUCCUACGAGUGUUCCACUGAUGGCUGCUGUGCUGGCUGACGAUGAAACAACCAAAGCAAGCUAAUUGUUAAAAGUUGCGUGAACACAUGAGAUAACCACUGUUAUCAACUCCACUACUCCCGAUGCACACACAGCCACUUCAUUGGUAUGCACAAUUCUUCUUAUUGCAGAGUUUCUGGUAUUCCCGUCAUGCCGUUGUUUCACUAUUUCACUCUAUUUCACUGUUUUCUAUGUACGAAACAAAUAUGCCCUCAUUCAGAGGGGAGACCAAUCUACAAAGAAGGGACUAAUGAACUUGCACGCUCAUCUCUUUUACAGAUACCUUCAUGCUUGAUCCAAGAAAUUGCCCAGUGGAAAGAAACUCAUAUUGGUGUGUUUCUAUUUGUACAUAUUCCAUUGAAUACUGGAUAUCAGCAUCAUAUACUCAGAAAUUUCUGCUUCAAAGUAUCAUGUCAUACAUGUUGAUCAUAUUGAUAAGCUACAACAUACUUAUGUGUAGUAUUUGGGUUUGUUAGAGAUCUUAUCUGAACGAAUAUAAGUUGGCUUCAAGUUUGAGAUUCCCAGCGUAAUUCUAUCGGCAGUCAUAUUUAUGUUAUUCUUGAUAGGGCGCGCAACGCGCGCCGAAUGUUCUAGUUGAAAUUGCAAAGCAACUGGUGAUUGAGGUUACCAGUGAGUGUGGAAGUUGGCAGCUAUGUAAACACCGAUGAUGUCUUCGAGGAGCCUCGCAGUAAUAAAAAGUUUAAGGUCAGGAUCUUCUGGUAGGCCAACAUCUAAACCUUGUAGGGAAUGAUGGAACUUCAUAGUACUACUUUCUGUUAUAAAAGGAUGGCUCAAAAUAAAAUUUGAGUGAAAUAUUUGAUAUAUUCUUUAUUCAAAAAUCUCUGGUGUUGCAUUGUGAUUUAAUUUCAGAGGUCCAUGGCCCAAUUGAGCGUGUGUGAUUAUAAGAUUACUACCUAACAUGUAUAUUUUUUAUCAUUAUACUUCCUUUGGCUGUUUCAGAUAAAGAUGAUCCAUGUUUCUCUUUUUUAUUUCCAAUUUUGUCACAAUCUGAUUGCAGGGUAGAUUUGAUGAAAUUUUUGCAAGAACCUGGUUCAGUUGCUAUCUACCUCUUUGCCAAAUUAUAGGACCAGCGAUUUUGGUGGCCUAUGUCUACUGCCUCAUUUGUUGAUUUAUCAACUGUGACUGAUACACUGCCGAGCUGUUGAAACCUCAUCUUACUGAGCAAGCUACUGGUGUGCGCACUGUAAUCAUUGUAAAAGCUUUAGAAUGUCCACGCAUCAGCUGGAUCUGUGCUUAAGGGUAAGGUUAUGCAUUAUUUGUUAUUGUUGUGAAUUAUCAGAUACAUUGAUUUAAUAUGGUGGCCAUUGGCUUCUCUGUUUUUACUUACUGGUAUUAGCUUUCAAAUUUCAUUUUACUGAUGUUAGGAGGCAUGGCUCCUGAAAUGCAAUAUUGUGAAGUUCUUGUGAAUGUUGUGCACCAUGUAUGUUAUUCUGAAUUUUGUUUUCAACAAACAACCUGGAGUAAUAUGCGAUAGGUUUGUAGGUUUGCAAACUUGCAUUUAUGGGAGGUGUUAGGUACCACGUUUGAUGGUGCUGACAGCAAGCUCUUCAAAUGACUCAUUGAAGCUGUGUUUUGUUUUGAAUUUUUUUGGAUUAUUGUGACAUCGAGGAAGAUGGAUCAGAAGGAGAGGGGCACUCAGUUGUGUUCCAGUCUGUAGCUGGGUCGCUGUGGUUUGUAGCCUUCGGGUUCCUGGUCCUUCCUAGACAUUGGUCAUUUUCAGGAUUUACUUAGCCAUUUUGACUCCUAUUGAACCUUUACCAACUUUUUUUUCUUGUAUUUGUGAAAUCCCUCAUUUGAGGUAGAGUCUAAGAACUCUUGUAAUUUUUUUUGCUAUAGUCAUCCGCAUGUGAAUUAUCAAUUCUGGAAUUUUCAUAAUCUAAAAAGUAAUUGAAUAUAUGUAUGACAA